UUAGAAAUUCACACACACGAAGAAAUCAAAAUAUGUGCUCAUUAUCCACUGCGGUAUCAGUACUCAACGUUCGAAUAAUCUUUAGUACUACGCAAGCAAUGUAAACUGUUUACAUUAUGACGUCGCUGCUGUCAUCAUUGCUUUCACGACUUGGACGAAUAAACCACUGGACGCGUAACGAGUGACGUUUUCGUCUUUACCCCGCUAGCACUUACCAAGGCUAAAUUAGCCAUGGUAAAUGUUGUCAGGUUGUCACUUUGUCAGUAUGACGCGAGCUCUCGAAGAGUAAAAAUAUCACGAAAAAUGGGUAAAUGCGCCGUACUUUAUUGCAAAAAUUAUUCCGGUCACACAAGAAAUGUUUCUUAUCACGCAUUUCCAGUGGAUCCAAAUAGAAGGAGAAAGUGGAUAGAGGCAGUCAGAAGACAAAAUACGUGGAUUCUAACUAAAAACCACUGCAUUUGUAGCAUUCAUUUUGCGGAAGAAUGCUACAAUGCCAAUUCUACGAAACAGAGAAAACUGCACAAAGAUUCUUUACCUACAUUGAAUUUGCCUAAAUUUUCACAUGAAACAAAAGAUGAUGAGAUCGACAUAGAUGGAACAUACAAAACAAGCACACCAGUAAAUGUUUUAUUUUCGGUAUGCAAUACCGAGGUGGAACCUUUUAGAUCUGUGUCAUCCGUCACGUUUAGUGAAAUACCGGGGUGGUUGGAACUUGAUUUGGUCCAUCCUGUCAUCAACUGUUUUUCAAUGGGACGACUUCUGAACAUCAGAGAGAUCUUGACUGUCAAGAUACGUGAAUUAGGCCACUGAACUUUUCAAAACAAAACCAACACAGGUGAAAUAUCUGAGCAUCUCCCUUGACAACAAAUUGAACUGGGCGAGUCAUAUCGACAACAUGCAUAGUGCCUAGCAAACAUAGCGGCCACGGGUUGUAUGAGAACCACUCUAUCGGCAUCACUUGACUUCUUUCUGAAUCUCAGACAUUUAGACCUCAUUAUUCAGGAGGAAGCACAAGCACCCACUCUAAGACUUGAAGGAAACGAUAUAUGAAAGCAAAACAAGGAGACAGGAUAUUCCGCGAUUCUGCACAAAACCCUAAAAGAAAUACCCCUCAUCAACAG